GCACAACAGUUCGCACAGUAAAACUCAGUUUAAGAGAAGUCCGAAUCAGAUGUCAGAUCAGGAAACAAAAGAAAAUAAACAAAAUGACAAUAAUACAUAAAUAACAACAGACUACAAGCAGUUACUGACAUGCCAUACAUGACAAUUGCAUUUGAAUAAGGAAAAAAUGUACAACAAAAUCAGCCAAAAAAACCAACCCAAAACAUAAGUUAUAACACUUAUUAAAGAUAGCAUUUAUCGCUAGUUCUUGUUUUGAGCAAAUUGGGAAACUCAAUAAGUAAUGGAUUUCAAAGAAUUUAUUAUCAUUAACGGCGAUCAACGAAGAUAAAUUUGUCACGUCGAGGUCACUGGACGUUAAACAUACAGAAUAUUAAGCAAAGAAAGUAUUAUAUAUAUUAUAUAUCAUUCAAUACCCCCGUCGCAGCCAUCUCUAAAAUAGUUUGGUUAGUAAGAUGUUUGCUACAGUCAAUAUCGCCUUAAAAUACAUGUUAGUGCAUACAGUUAUUUCGUAAAACACGAAAAUUGACAACGUGAGUUAUACCUGAAAAUCAUUUUGUUUGCAUAGAGUUUAAAAGUGUUGUUGUCAUUUAAUAGCAAGGUGUCGAUACUUAUUUU
rnacentral:lncRNA from 1 species